UGAUGAAUAAGCCACGGCUAAUUCCGUGCCAGCAGCGCGUAAUACGGGAGUGGCAAGCGUAUCGGAUAUAGGCGUAAAGCGUCGCAGCGACCUUCAAGUCUGCUGUUAAAAAGUGAGCUUAACUCCAUCAUGGCAGUGGAAACUGUUGGGCUUGAGUGUGGUAGGGGCAGAGGGAAUUCCCGGUGUAGCGGUGAAAUGCGUAGAUAUCGGGAAGAACACCAGUGGCGAAGGCGCUCUGCUGGGCCAUCACUGACGCUCAUGGACGAAAGCCAGGGGAGCGAAAGGGAUUAGAUACCCCUGUAGUCCUGGCCGUAAACGAUGAACACUAGGUGUCGGGGGAAUCGACCCCCUCGGUGUCGUAGCCAACGCGUUAAGUGUUCCGCCUGGGGAGUACGCACGCAAGUGUGAAACUCAAAGGAAUUGACGGGGGCCCGCACAAGCGGUGGAGUAUGUGGUUUAAUUCGAUGCAACGCGAAGAACCUUACCAGGGUUUGACAUCCUGCGAAUCUCUUGGAAACAGGAGAGUGCCUUCGGGAACGCAGUGACAGGUGGUGCAUGGCUGUCGUCAGCUCGUGUCGUGAGAUGUUGGGUUAAGUCCCGCAACGAGCGCAACCCACGUCUUUAGUUGCCAGCAUUUAGUUGGGCACUCUAGAGAGACUGCCGGUGAUAAACCGGAGGAAGGUGUGGAUGACGUCAAGUCAUCAUGCCCCUUACAUCCUGGGCUACACACGUACUACAAUGCUACGGACAAAGGGCAGCAAGUUCGCGAGGACAAGCAAAUCCCAUAAACCGUGGCUCAGUUCAGAUCGUAGGCUGCAACUCGCCUACGUGAAGGCGGAAUCGCUAGUAAUCGCAGGUCAGCAUACUGCGGUGAAUACGUUCCCGGGCCUUGUACACACCGCCCGUCACACCAUGGAAGUUGGCCACGCCCGAAGCCGUUACUCCAACCCUUGUGGA
rnacentral:rRNA from 1 species